rnacentral:rRNA from 1 species
GACGGAGGAUGCAAGUGUUAUCCGGAAUCACUGGGCGUAAAGCGUCUGUAGGUUGUUUAAAAAGUCUGCAGUUAAAGGUUGAAGCUUAACUUCAAAAAUGCCGUAGAAACUUUUAAACUAGAGGAUGGUAGGGGUAGAGGGAAUUUCCAGUGGAGCGGUGAAAUGUGUAGAUAUUGGAAAGACCACCGAUGGCGAAGGCACUCUACUGGGCCAUGACUGACACUGAGAGACGAAGGCUAGGGGAGCAAAUGGG